CCAAAGGCUCUUUUCAGAGCCCCCAAAUCGUCACUAAAGGAGCUGU
rfam:Tupaia chinensis contig173170, whole genome shotgun sequence.